CCUACGGGAGGCAGCAGUGAGGAAUAUUGGUCAAUGGACGCAAGUCUGAACCAGCCAAGUAGCGUGCAGGAUGACGGCCCUCCGGGUUGUAAACUGCUUUUAGUUGGGAAUAAAAGUGGGCUUGUGAGCCCCGUAUUGUAUGUACCAUCAGAAAAAGGACCGCGUAAUUCCGUGCCAGCAGCCGCGGUAAUACGGCAGGUCCGGGCGUUAUCCGGAAUUAUUGGGUUUAAAGGGAGCGUAGGCCGGCUUUUAAGUCAGCUGUGAAAGUCCGCGGCUCAACCGGGGAAGUGCAGUUGAAACUGGCGGGCUUGAGUGCACACAGGGAUGCCGGAAUUCAUGGUGUAGCGGUGAAAUGCUUAGAUAUCAUGAAGAACUCCGAUCGCGAAGGCAAGUGUCCGGGGUGCAACUGACGCUGAGGCUCGAAAGUGCGGGUAUCAAACAGGAUUAGAUACCCCUGAAGUC
rnacentral:rRNA from 1 species